rnacentral:rRNA from 1 species
GAUGAACGCUGGCGGCGUGCCUAAUACAUGCAAGUCGAGCGAACAGACGAGGAGCUUGCUCCUCUGACGUUAGCGGCGGACGGGUGAGUAACACGUGGAUAACCUACCUAUAAGACUGGGAUAACUUCGGGAAACCGGAGCUAAUACCGGAUAACAUGUUGAACCGCAUGGUUUAACAGUGAAAGACGGUCUUGCUGUCACUUAUAGAUGGAUCCGCGCCGCAUUAGCUAGUUGGUAAGGUAACGGCUUACCAAGGCAACGAUGCGUAGCCGACCUGAGAGGGUGAUCGGCCACACUGGAACUGAGACACGGUCCAGACUCCUACGGGAGGCAGCAGUAGGGAAUCUUCCGCAAUGGGCGAAAGCCUGACGGAGCAACGCCGCGUGAGUGAAGAAGGUCUUCGGAUCGUAAAACUCUGUUAUUAGGGAAGAACAAAUGUGUAAGUAACUAUGCACGUCUUGACGGUACCUAAUCAGAAAGCCACGGCUAACUACGUA